GUCGGAGCGCCUAUUAUCGGA
rnacentral:siRNA from 1 species